CUCUCAGACUUGGAACGUAAGGGGUUAAGUAUUUAUGUUCUAGGGGUUAAACAGCGCACGCCUCUCUUAUUCACAAUGGGUUAAAGAGGUCUGCACAGUUAAAUCCUUAGAAACCGGCUAGCAGGCUACAGCGAGUUAAUACGGGGCUCUGGUACCCCCAUUUCCUGUAAUUAGGGUGCAAGUUGUAAAAAUGAGAGAAGACAGUGGAAUUUGAUAGAAU